rnacentral:tRNA from 1 species
ACUAUUUUGGCAGAAAAGUGCAAUGGAUUUAGAAUCCUUAUAUGAAAGUUGUAUUUCAAGUAGUA